AAGCUGUCUGUCAUUCCCUGGGUAACUCUUUGUCCCCUCCUGUCCCCCUUCCAGGUUCCUGGUUGCCUAGUUCUCUCUGACCCCCCGAUCACCUCUCCCUGGGAUCUGGCCGUUCCGAGGAGUGGUGAGUGUUCAGAGCGAAACCUCCUGCAGGAUGCACCAGCUAGCACAGCCAGAGAGGGUGUCAGCUCCUCCAGCUACUGCAUCCCUCGGGUACCAAGCUGAAGCUCUGGAGCAUCAAGUCCAACUCCAGCUGCUGCUUUCCAAAGCUGCAAGCCCCCUCCCGUAUGAGCCAGAACAAAAUGCUCUGGAGUGGGUUGCUGGUGCCAGUAAGAACUCUGCACCGAAGGGCCAGUUUCCUUUGUUACUGAUACACUUCAUCUCGGCUCAUGUCCCCGUGGUCAGCAAGUUAUUCACAGGUACUCUGAACUUCUCAGAUUUAUUAAACACCUUUCGCAACUGAUCCCACCCUCACUGCCA